AACGAACGCUGGCGGCAUGCCUAACACAUGCAAGUCGAACGAGAUCCUUCGGGGUCUAGUGGCGCACGGGUGCGUAACGCGUGGGAAUCUGCCCUUAGGUUCGGAAUAACAGUUAGAAAUGACUGCUAAUACCGGAUGAUGACAUUAAGUCCAAAGAUUUAUCGCCUGAGGAUGAGCCCGCGUAGGAUUAGCUAGUUGGUGUGGUAAAGGCGCACCAAGGCGACGAUCCUUAGCUGGUCUGAGAGGAUGAUCAGCCACACUGGGACUGAGACACGGCCCAGACUCCUACGGGAGGCAGCAGUGGGGAAUAUUGGACAAUGGGCGCAAGCCUGAUCCAGCAAUGCCGCGUGAGUGAUGAAGGCCUUAGGGUUGUAAAGCUCUUUUACCCGAGAUGAUAAUGACAGUAUCGGGAGAAUAAGCCCCGGCUAACUCCGUG
rnacentral:rRNA from 1 species